GCUUCGGUGCAGGAAUUACAUUGUAGAUGCAUCCACAGGGGUUGGUACCCAGCAUCAGUUACUCUCUGGACUUGGACCGCGAAGGAUGAGAGCUACACUCAUCUGUGGCUGCAAGGAAACUACAAUGGCUGAAAUUUGUUGCUUCUAUGGCUAUGACCCAUCUCCUGCAUCCAAAUAAUCUUGGCGAUGAUGAACUCUUGUAAAGGACCCAUGACAGCAUGCUAAUCUUUAUGCCCACUCAGUCAUGCUGAAGUGAAGGCAGCUGAUGGACCAGAGAGCAGCAUAUCAGAGUGAGGGAAUAGUCACAGUGCAGAUGCCCAGCACAGGCAUGACCCAGUUCUUGUCUACAUCUGAGCCUUGUGAGGAGGGUCUGGAGUGAGAAAAGAUCAGAUGAUGUCAUAGUCAUUCACCAGAGAAAAGACAGUCUGAAGGCACAGGAGAAGGAUGAAGAACGCUGGACAAGUGGCCAUCCAGGUGGAAAAAGAACUGAAGCAGAUUGGAGUCUUUGGCUGGUGCAUAACUCACUACACAGAUCAGAAUGGCCUUAAAAUCACAGAGAUCUGCCUGUUACUUCCUCCAGAACACUAGGAUUAAAGACAUCUGUUACCACACCUGAUCUAAAUUAUACUUAUUCAUAUGUGAUUAAGCAGGAAUUUUAUGUUUUAUACUUCUGAAGAUAGAAAUGCAUGCAUGAGUCACAGAAUUAACAAACUGGGUCACAGUGAGCAUCUUAAAAACAGAAUCACCUGCUGGAAACAGAACGGAAAGCUGUGAAGGUGGUGAUACACUGUGAUCAGAGUUUUAAACUGUUACAUAAUGUUCCUUGAACUUUAUAUUUCUUUCUUGGAUUGUGUGGUUUUUCUUUUUUUUUCAUGAAACUAUACAGAUCAAUGAUUAUUAUAGGUGUGGGUUAUGGAGUAUGGUUUCAAGUUUUGCUUCUGCUAUGCAGUACCUGUAAUGAUCUCCUACAGUCCUGCUUGCUCAGUGGGUAAAAUGGGAACAAUUACAGUAUAUAUUCAGUUUCAAGGAUUAAAUAAUGAAUUAGGGUGCUUGGCAUCUAACAUCCAGGAAAAAUUAGCCAUUGUAUUUCUUUACUUUUUAAAUUUCUCUCAAGUAUUAGGUACUUUUUUGCAAUGGUUGAAUGGGACUCUACUCAAGUUGCUAAGUAGAACCAAAGGAAGUAUAGUGUGUAUUGAAGUAAAAGAGGCUGGACAAUGAUUGCUAGAGGCAGCAGAUAUCAAAAUGAAAGAAUCUGAAGGAUAAAGCCACACCCCAAGACUUGAGUGCCUCAGUGUUUCCCUUGCUGCACCUGGCAGGUGCAGAUGUCUAUUUCCUUAAAGGUAGCUCUGCCCGCAGGUCCGCCUAAUAUGAAGACACCCAGUGCUAACUUCUCCCUACUCAUUUAGACCAAAUUCUAGUUCAUACAGGAGCUCCACCAAAUCUUACUGUGCUCCUAUGUGAGUACGUAAAAG